rfam:Armatimonadetes bacterium 13_1_40CM_3_65_7 13_1_40cm_3_scaffold_452366, whole genome shotgun sequence.
CGCGACAAAGGCUAACCCAGGGUGACCUGGGGGCGCAAAGCUACGGGACCUACCGGUGAAAUCGCCGGGAGGUCGGCCGGGUUGCCGAAC